GGCGUGUGGAGAGAAGAGAAGGUACAGAUAGCGCCAGGAGGCGGCUGAGCAGGGAGACACACGCUGGCACACGUCAACGUAUAGCGCACACCCACGUCCCACUUCUGUACGGCUGCUCUCUUCCUACUAGUUGGCCAUAUUCAGCCCUUCGUUCUGCCCAUAGUCCCAGUUAUCGAAGUGACGCUGCAUGAUAUAGCUGCGAGCACACAAUGCGGUGCACCCCUGUACGAUGCAUGUCCAUGUGGGACAGUCCGGUGUUUGAGCACAACCCCCUUACUCGCUACUGGAAGAAGAUGAUGGACCGCACCGGCAACACGCUGUCCUCGCAGAGUAUUCCGCGUCACAUCCACGGCUACCUGGAAGGCUCCAACGCACGCACGGAAAGCCACAUACGGUGGUUUCCGUACAAGCAGGAGAUGACGGUAGAGGGACGGUACAUACCGACGUUUAAGGAUGUCAUAUACACCCACUACUUUCCGAAGGAGUUCAACGACGAUGAGCGGGUGAAAUACAUCUCGAUCAAGACGGGACGGUCCGAGCUGGAGGUGGCCGACGAGAUCUUCCUGAUGCGCAAGAUGAAGCUCUUUACGGCGCAGCUUCUCCGUAACAAACUGCGCAGCCGCCCUCUGCGGAUGCCGCAAGGCGUCGACUACAGUGGCAUCGAGCGGCGCUACACCAUCGGCGUCUCCAAGGUGGCGCAGGCGAUGGGCAUGAGCAUGUACAGCACUAACUCCUACGACCCCGUUCUCAUGUACUCCCCCUACCUUGACAUGGGGGACUGCGUCGACCUCAUCGUGACGAAGCAGCUACGAACUUCACUGCAAUACCUGCUGUGUGACAUCAUUGUCCAUCGCGGCAUUCAUCGCGCUCGUCUACCUCACUUGAAAGGCGAGCCCAAGGAGCCCUUGUGCCACAUCGAGCCUUGCCUCUACCAGUUCAUCAAGCUGCGCUUGGCAGUGCUCUCGCUCAUCGCCAAGCAGGAGCAGUACGUCGUGGAUCACCACUUUGACGGCAACCACCGCUAUGGCGGCUGCCUCAUUCACCUCUUUCCCUCCCCGCUAGACCCCGAGAUCAUUGACCACCACGUCGAACACAUCGAGCUCGACCUGGAGCUAGCGCAGACCUGGAUGAAGCACUACUACGAUCACUACAUUGCGCCCCGCCGGAGCGCGUAAGUUCUCAGCCUCGAUGGGGAUUGAGUGGUGAUGGUGGUGGCGCCCUUGAGCUGUGGCGAGAGUGCAUGUGUUUUUCUUUAGGUGCGUGCAUAUCUGUGUUGAGAUAGAGAAAGCGCUGACACCUGGGCGUCAACACGCGCACUAGCAGAGAAACCAGCCCUGCCACAUACGCACACACACACACACACACACACACACGCCUAGAUAUGUAUGCUUGUGCGUGUCUUUGCCUAGGUCUUACCAGACCUUCUCAGCCGCCCAUCCACCCUCGCAUACACGCCAACACGCUGACCCAAGCAUCUCACUGCUUUCUACGCCAAACGGCGCGUGCGUGCCGCUGGUAUGAGCCAACAGAACUG
rnacentral:misc_RNA from 1 species